AACCUCAUUGACCAGAAGGAAUUCUUUCUGGUUGAUGAGGUAUAGCUUCCUCAUUGACCGGAAUGAAUUCCUUCCGGUUAAUGAGGUA
rnacentral:miRNA from 1 species